GAGGUUGUGGCCUUGAGCCGUGGCUUUCGGAGCUAACGCGUUAAGUAGACCGCCUGGGGAGUACGGUCGCAAGAUUAAAACUCAAAUGAAUUGACGGGGGCCCGCACAAGCGGUGGAGCAUGUGGUUUAAUUCGAUGCAACGCGAAGAACCUUACCUACUCUUGACAUCCAGAGAAGCCAGUGGAGACACAGGCGUGCCUUCGGGAGCUCUGAGACAGGUGCUGCAUGGCUGUCGUCAGCUCGUGUUGUGAAAUGUUGGGUUAAGUCCCGCAACGAGCGCAACCCUUAUCCUUAAUUGCCAGCGAGUUAUGUCGGGAACUUUGGGGAGACUGCCGGUGAUAAACCGGAGGAAGGUGGGGACGACGUCAAGUCAUCAUGGCCCUUACGAGUAGGGCUACACACGUGCUACAAUGGCGCAUACAGAGGGCAGCCAGCUAGCAAUAGUGAGCGAAUCCCAAAAAGUGCGUCGUAGUCCGGAUUGGAGUCUGCAACUCGACUCCAUGAAGUCGGAAUCGUUAGUAAUCGUAGAUCAGAAUGCUACGGUGAAUACGUUCCCGGGCCUUGUACACACCGCCCGUCACACCAUGGGAGUGGGCUGCAAAAGAAGUAGGUAGUUUAACCUUCGGGGGGACGCUUACCACUUUGUGGUUCAUGACUGGGGUGAAGUCGUAACAACGUAGCCG
rnacentral:rRNA from 1 species